rnacentral:rRNA from 1 species
AGAGUUUGAUCCUGGCUCAGGAUGAACGCUAGCUACAGGCUUAACACAUGCAAGUCGAGGGGCAGCAUGGUCUUAGCUUGCUAAGGCCGAUGGCGACCGGCGCACGGGUGAGUAACACGUAUCCAACCUGCCGUCUACUCUUGGACAGCCUUCUGAAAGGAAGAUUAAUAUAAGAUGGCAUCAUGAGUCCGCAUGUUCACAUGAUUAAAGGUAUUCCGGUAGACGAUGGGGAUGCAUUCCAUUAGAUAGUAGGCGGGGUAACGGCCACCUAGUCUUCGAUGGAUAGGGGUUCUGAGAGGAACGGUCCCCACAUUGGAACUGAGACACGGUCCAAACUCCUACGGGAGGCA